GACACUGGGUCUUACCCGAGCCGUGAGGAACCGGUUGCCUGUAGUGGGCACGGUUUGGUGCACAACAAACGUUGAGCCGCAAGGGAUUUUGCGGUGAUGGGACUGCCAGACACACUAUUGGGCUUUGAGACAACAGGCCCGUGCCCCUUUUUUGGGGGGUGGCAUCCGGUUGCGGGUGUCGGCGUGUUGUUGCCUCACUUUGGUGGUGGGGUGUGGUGUUUGAUUUGUGGAUAGUGGUUGCGAGCAUCUAGCACGCAGUGUGGCUGGGGGCCUUCGGGUUUCCGGUCUUGUUGUGUGUUGAUGUGCAAUUUCUUUUGAAACUCAUUUUUGGUUUUUGUGUUGUAAGUGUCU
rnacentral:misc_RNA from 1 species